GAUGAACGCUGGCGGCGUGCCUAAUACAUGCAAGUCGAGCGAACAGACGAUGAGCUUGCUCCUCUGACGUUAGCGGCGGACGGGUGAGUAACACGUGUAUAACCUACCUAUAAGACUGGUAUAACUUCGGGAAACCGGAGCUAAUACCGGAUAAUAUAUUGAACCGCAGGGUUCAAUGGUGAAAUACGGUUUUGCUGGCACUUAUCGAUGGAUCCGCGCCGCAUUAGCUAGUUGGUAAGGUAACGGCUUACCAAGGCAACGAUGCGUAGCCGACCUGAGAGAGUGAUCGGCCACACUGGAACUGGGACACGGUCCAGGGGACUACGGUAGGCAGCAGUAGGGAAUCUUCCGCAAUGGGCGAAAGCCUGACGGAGCAACGCCGAGUGAGUGAUGAAGGCCUUCGGAUCGUAAAACUCUGUUAUUAGGGAAGAACAAAUGUGUAAGUAACUAUGCACGUCUUGACGGUACCUAAUCAGAAAGCCACGGCUAACUACGUG
rnacentral:rRNA from 1 species